UACAGAGGUCCCAAGCGUUGUUCGGAUUCAUUGGGCGUAAAGGGUGCGUAGGCGGCCUGUUAAGUCGGGUGUGAAAGCCCUGGGCUCAACCCAGGAAGUGCACUCGAAACUGGCAGGCUUGAAUAUGGAAGAGGGUCGCGGAAUUCCCGGUGUAGAGGUGAAAUUCGUAGAUAUCGGGAGGAACACCAGUGGCGAAGGCGGCGACCUGGGCCAAUAUUGACGCUGAGGUGCGAAAGCGUGGGGAGCAAACAGG
rnacentral:rRNA from 1 species